rnacentral:rRNA from 1 species
UACGAAGGGGGCUAGCGUUGCUCGGAAUUACUGGGCGUAAAGCGCACGUAGGCGGAUCGUUAAGUCGGGGGUGAAAUCCUGGAGCUCAACUCCAGAACUGCCUUCGAUACUGGCGAUCUUGAGUCCGGAAGAGGUGAGUGGAACUCCUAGUGUAGAGGUGGAAUUCGUAGAUAUUAGGAAGAACACCAGUGGCGAAGGCGGCUCACUGGCCGGUA